rnacentral:rRNA from 1 species
UCCGUAGGCGGCGCGGAAAGUUGGGUGUGAAAUCCCUCGGCUUAACCGAGGAACGGCGCCCAAAACUACCGUGCUCGAGGGAGAUAGAGGUGAGCGGAACUUAGGGUGGAGCGGUGAAAUGCGUUGAUAUUCUAAGGAACACCGGUGGCGAAAGCGGCUCACUGGAUCUCUUCUGACGCUGAUGCACGAAAGCUAGGGUAGCGAACG